CCACAGAUUAACAGACCUGUCAGGCUCUCUCACAGAUGGACCAGUAAACUAUAAAUACAAGACCAAAUGCACUUGGUUAAUAGAAGGAUACCCUAAUGCAGUUCUCAGGCUGCGCUUCAAUCACUUUGCCACAGAGUGCAGCUGGGACCACAUGUACAUCUAUGAUGGAGACUCCAUUUAUGCCCCUUUGAUUGCGGUCUUCAGUGGUCUAGUGGUACCAGAGACCCGGGGUAAUGAGACAGUCCCAGAGGUGGUUACGACAUCCGGCUACGCUCUGCUUCACUUCUUCAGCGAUGCUGCUUACAACCUGACCGGCUUCACCAUCACCUACUCGUACGUCUAGAUGUCAGCCCUCCUUCACUCUUUUUCUAGUCUCUUUUUGCCUGCCUUUCUGU